GAUGAACGCUGGCGGCGUGCCUAAUACAUGCAAGUCGAGCGAACGGACGAGAAGCUUGCUUCUCUGAUGUUAGCGGCGGACGGGUGAGUAACACGUGGAUAACCUACCUAUAAGACUGGGAUAACUUCGGGAAACCGGAGCUAAUACCGGAUAAUAUUUUGAACCGCAUGGUUCAAAAGUGAAAGACGGUCUUGCUGUCACUUAUAGAUGGAUCCGCGCUGCAUUAGCUAGUUGGUAAGGUAACGGCUUACCAAGGCAACGAUGCAUAGACGACCUGAGAGGGUGAUCGGCCACACUGGAACUUAGACACGGUCCAGACUCCUACGGGAGGCAGCAGUAGGGAAUCUUCCGCAAUGGGCGAAAGCCUGACGGAGCAACGCCGCGUGAGUGAUGAAGGUCUUCGGAUCGUAAAACUCUGUUAUUAGGGAAGAACAUAUGUGUAAGUAACUGUGCACAUCUUGACGGUACCUAAUCAGAAAGCCACGGCUAACUACGUG
rnacentral:rRNA from 1 species